rnacentral:rRNA from 1 species
AGUAACGCGUGAGGAACCUGCCUUCCAGAGGGGGACAACAGUUGGAAACGACUGCUAAUACCGCAUGAUGCAUUUGAAUCGCAUGGUUUGAAUGUCAAAGAUUUAUCGCUGGAAGAUGGCCUCGCGUCUGAUUAGCUAGUUGGUGAGGUAACGGCCCACCAAGGCGACGAUCAGUGGCCGGCCUGAGAGGGUGGACGGCCAUAUUGGGACUGAGACACGGCCCAAACUCCUACGGAAGGCAGCAG